rnacentral:piRNA from 1 species
UGCACAGCGAGGAGUGUACACACACUUGUGUA